GACGAACGCUGGCGGCGUGCUUAACACAUGCCAGUCGAACGGUGAAGGGACCGGUUUUUGCUGGUUCUGGAUGAGUGGCGAACGGGUGAGUAACACGUGAGUAACCUGCCCCCUUCUUCUGGAUAACCGCAUGAAAGUGUGGCUAAUACGGGAUAUUCUGCGCCUGCUGCAUGGUGGGUGUGGGAAAGAUAUUGUUUCGGUGGGGGAUGGGCUCGCGGCCUAUCAGCUUGUUGGUGGGGUGAUGGCCUACCAAGGCGGUGACGGGUAGCCGGCCUGAGAGGGUGGACGGUCACACUGGGACUGAGACACGGCCCAGACUCCUACGGGGGGCAGCAGUGGGGAAUAUUGCACAAUGGGCGCAAGCCUGAUGCAGCGACGCCGCGUGAGGGAUGGAGGCCUUCGGGUUGUAAACCUCUUUCGCCAGUGAAGCAGGCCUGUCCCUUUUGUGGGUGGGUUGACGGUAGCUGGAGAAGAAGCGCCGGCUAACUACGUG
rnacentral:rRNA from 1 species